UUCGGUGGUUAUAGCGUAGGGGAAACGCCCGGUUACAUUCCGAACCCGGAAGCUAAGCCUUACAGCGCCGAUGGUACUGCAGG
rnacentral:rRNA from 1 species